UGGGGAAUAUUGCACAAUGGGCGGAAGCCUGAUGCAGCGACGCCGCGUGGGGGAUGACGGCCUUCGGGUUGUAAACCUCUUUCAGUGCAGAACAAGGCUCUUUGUGGGUUGAGGGUAUGCGCAGAAGAAGCGCCGGCUAACUACGUGCCAGCAGCCGCGGUAAUACGUAGGGCGCGAGCGUUGUCCGGAUUUAUUGGGCGUAAAGAGCUCGUAGGCGGUUUGUCGCGUCUGCUGUGAAAUCCUCUGGCUUAACUGGGGGCGUGCAGU
rnacentral:rRNA from 1 species